rnacentral:rRNA from 1 species
GACGAACGCUGGCGGCGUGCUUAACACAUGCAAGUCGAACGAGAAUCUACUGAAAGAGUUUUCGGACAAUGGAUGUAGAGGAAAGUGGCGGACGGGUGAGUAACGCGUGAGGAACCUGCCUUGAAGAGGGGGACAACAGUUGGAAACGACUGCUAAUACCGCAUGAAGCAUAGGGGUCGCAUGAUUCUUAUGCCAAAGAUUUAUCGCUUCAAGAUGGCCUCGCGUCUGAUUAGCUAGUUGGCGGGGUAACGGCCCACCAAGGCGACGAUCAGUAGCCGGAGUGACAGGUUGAACGGCCACAUUGGGACUGAGAUACGGCCCAGGCUCCUACGGGAGACAGCAGUGGGGAAUAUUGGGCAAUGGGCGCAAGCCUGACCCAGCAACGCCGCGUGAAGGGAGAAGGCUUUCGGGUUGUAAACUUCUUUUAAGAGGGAAGAGCAGAAGUCGGUACCUCUAGAAUAAGCCACGGCUAACUACGUGCCAGCCGCCGCCGUAA